GAUGAACGCUGGCGGCGUGCCUAAUACAUGCAAGUCGAGCGAACAGAUAAGGAGCUUGCUCCUUUGACGUUAGCGGCGGACGGGUGAGUAACACGUGGGUAACCUACCUAUAAGACUGGAAUAACUCCGGGAAACCGGGGCUAAUGCCGGAUAACAUUUAGAACCGCAUGGUUCUAAAGUGAAAGAUGGUUUUGCUAUCACUUAUAGAUGGACCCGCGCCGUAUUAGCUAGUUGGUAAGGUAACGGCUUACCAAGGCAACGAUACGUAGCCGACCUGAGAGGGUGAUCGGCCACACUGGAACUGAGACACGGUCCAGACUCCUACGGGAGGCAGCAGUAGGGAAUCUUCCGCAAUGGGCGAAAGCCUGACGGAGCAACGCCGCGUGAGUGAUGAAGGUCUUCGGAUCGUAAAACUCUGUUAUUAGGGAAGAACAAAUGUGUAAGUAACUGUGCACGUCUUGACGGUACCUAAUCAGAAAGCCACGACUAACUACGUG
rnacentral:rRNA from 1 species